GCGAAAGUGGCGGAACUGGUAGACGCGCCAGAUUUAGGAUCUGGUGGGGUAACCCGUGGGGGUUCGACUCCCCCUUCUCGCACCA
rnacentral:tRNA from 1 species